rnacentral:rRNA from 1 species
UACGUAGGGUGCGAGCGUUAAUCGGAAUUACUGGGCGUAUAGCGUGCGCAGGCGGCUUUGCAAGACAGAUGUGAAAUCCCCGGGCUCAACCUGGGAACUGCAUUUGUGACUGCAAGGCUAGAGUACGGCAGAGGGGGAUGGAAUUCCGCGUGUAGCAGUGAAAUGCGUAGAUAUGCGGAGGAACACCAAUGGCGAAGGCAAUCCCCUGGGCCUGUACUGACGCUCAUGCACGAAAGCGUGGGGAGCAAACAGG